rnacentral:rRNA from 1 species
AAAAAAUAGUAAGGGCAUAUGGUGAAUGCCUUGGAAAAUGGAGCCGAAGAAGGACGUGACUACCUGCGAAAAGCAUCGGGGAGCUGGAAGUGAGCUUAGAUCCGGUGAUGUCCGAAUGGGGAAACCCAGUACGAUUUACCUCGUAUUGUCUGACUAGUGAAUACAUAGCUAGCAUGACGGGAACCUUGGGAAUUGAAACAUCUUAGUACCAAGAGGAAUAGAAAAUAAUAAUGAUUCUCCUAGUAGCGGCGAGCGAACGGGGAAGAGGCCAAACCGCUUUUCGAAGCGGGGUUGUAGGACUUUUGUUAGAGUUACAAAAUUGACAUAUAGUAGAACAGAUUGGGAAAUCUGAGCGUAGAGGGUGAUACUCCCGUAUACGAAAUGUGUCAAUCUCGAAAAAGUUAUCCUGAGUACGGCGAAGCACGUGAAACUUUGUCGGAAUUAGCCGAGACCACUCGGUAAGCCUAAAUACUCCCAUUUUACCGAUAGUGAACCAGUACCGUGAGGGAAAGGUGAAAAGAACCCCGAGAGGGGAGUGAAACAGUUCCUGAAACCAUAUGCCUACAAGAAGGUGGAGCCCGUUAAGGGGUGACACCGUGCUUUUUGUAGAAAGAGCCGGAGAGUUAUUGUUGUAUGCAAGGUUAAGCAGAUAUAUGUGGAGCCGGAGUGAAAGCGAGCCUUAAUAGGGCGAUAGUAUGCAGCAAUAGACACGAAACCGGGUGAUCUAGCCAUGAGCAGGUUGAAGUUAGGGUAAAACCUAAUGGAGGACCGAACCAACGUUCGUUGAAAAGACCGUGGAUGACUUGUGGCUAGUGGUGAAAUUCCAAUCGAACCCGGAGAUAGCUAGUUCUCCCCGAUAUAGCUUUAAGGCUAGCGUCGUAUUUAUAAUCAUGGAGGUAGAGCACUGACUUUAUGAUGGCCGCACCUAGCGGUACUGAAUAAAAUUAAACUCCGAAUGCCAUGAUUCCAUUGUACGGCAGUCAGAACAUGGGUGAUAAGGUCCAUGCUCGUGAGGGAAACAGCCCAGAUCGUCAGUUAAGGUCCCUAAAUGUAUACUAAGUGUGUAAGGAUGUGGAAUUGCACAGACAGCUAGGAUGUUGGCUCAGAAGCAGCCAUCAUUUAAAGAGUGCGUAACAGCUCACUAGUCGAGUGAUUCUGCGCCGAAAAUGUACCGGGGCUUAAGUAUACUACCGAAACUACGGAUUGUACGUGAGUACAGUGGUAGGGGAGCGUUCUAAAGGCAAUGAAGUCAGACCGUGAGGACUGGUGGAGCGUUUAGAAGUGAUUAUUCCGGCAUGAGUAACGUUUGAGAGUGAGAAUCUCUCAUGCUAUUUGAUCAAGGUUUCCUGGGCAAGGUUCGUCCACCCAGGGUUAGUCAGGACCUAAGGCGAGGCCGAAAGGCGUAGUCGAUGGACAACAGGUUGAUAUUCCUGUACUGAUUAGUUAGUGAUGGAGUGACGGAGAAGGAUAGUGGAUCCCAGUUAAUGGAUUCUGGGCUAAGCACAAAGAUGGUCUUGUUGGCAAAUCCGCAAGGCAUAACAUUGAAGUGUGAUGGGGAGUGAACGGUUCGCCUAGUAACGAAGUCUAUGACUCCACGCUUCCAAGAAAAGCUUCUAACUUUAAUAACUAAUUACCUGUACCUAGAACGAACACACGUGAUCAAGGAGAAAAUCCUAAGGCAAGCGAGAAAACUGUAGCUAAGGAACUCUGCAAAAUGACUCCGUAACUUCGGAAGAAGGAGUGCUCAACUAUGUUGAGCCGCAGUGAAGAGGGAGGGGCAACUGUUUAACAAAAACACAGCUCUCUGCUAAGUCGUAAGACGACGUAUAGGGGGUGACACCUGCCCAGUGCCGGAAGGUUAAGAGGAGAAGUUAACGUAAGUGAAGCUUUGAAUUGAAGCCCCGGUGAACGGCGGCCGUAACUAUAACGGUCCUAAGGUAGCGAAAUUCCUUGUCAGGUAAGUUCUGACCCGCACGAAAGGUGUAAUGAUCCCUUCGCUGUCUCGGCUGCAGACUCGGUGAAAUUUUAGUACCAGUGAAGAUGCUGGUUACCCGCAACUAGACGGAAAGACCCCGUGGAGCUUUACUAUAACUUGAUAUUGAGAUUUGGUGUAACGUGUAGAGGAUAGGUGGGAGACGUUGAUAUAGAGCCGCUAGGUUCUAUGGAGUCAACCUUGGAAUACCACCCUCGUUACUUUGAAUUUCUAACUUCGAUCCAUUAGCUGGAUCAAGGACAGUGUCUGGUGGGUAGUUUGACUGGGGCGGUCGCCUCCUAAAAUGUAACGGAGGCGCCCAAAGGUAUUCUCAAUAUGGUUGGAAAUCAUAUGUAGAGCGCAAAGGUAGAAGAAUGCUUAACUGUGAGACUUACAAGUCGAACAGAUUCGAAAGAAGGGCUUAGUGAUCCGGCGGUCCCGAGUGGAAGGGCCGUCGCUCAACGGAUAAAAGUUACCCCGGGGAUAACAGGCUUAUCUCCCCCAAGAGUUCACAUCGACGGGGAGGUUUGGCACCUCGAUGUCGGCUCAUCGCAUCCUGGAGCUGUAGUCGGUUCCAAGGGUUGGGCUGUUCGCCCAUUAAAGCGGUACGCGAGCUGGGUUCAGAACGUCGUGAGACAGUUUGGUCCCUAUCUGUUGUGGGCGUAGGAAAAUUGAAGAGAGCUGACUCUAGUACGAGAGGACCGAGUUGGACGCAUCCCUGGUGCUCCAGUUGUCGUGCCAACGGCACAGCUGGGUAGCUAUAUGCGGAAAGGAUAAUCGCUGAAGGCAUCUAAGCGAGAAGCCUCCUUUAAGAUGAAUUUUCCCAUUCGUAAGAAGUAAGAACCCAUGUAGACCACAUGGUUGAUAGGAUGGAUGUGUAAGUGUCGUGAGGCAUUGAGCUAACCAUUACUAAUAGUUCGAGUGAAUUUUAGUA